UAGUGAUUCUGCCAAACGGCACUUGAUGGAUACCUUGGCUGAGAAACCGACGAAGGGCGUGGCUAGCUGCGAUAAGCUUAGGGGAGACGCAUGCAGUCUUCGAUCCUAAGAUCCCCGAAUAGGAAUCCAUUGUACGUCCAAAAAGCGUACAAAUCCUCUUUUGAGGAAGGGAACCCACUGAACGAAAGCAUUCAAGUAAGUGGUGGAAAAGAAAGCAACAGCGAUUUCCUUAGUAACGGCGAGUGAAAAGGAACCAUGGUCAAACCGAAUAUUAUUUUGAAAAAAAUAAUAGAUGUGGUGUUGUGGACCGAAACCAAUGCUUAGCAGACAUAAAUCGAACUCUUUUGGAACAAAGGGCCAUAGAGGGUGAAAGCCCCGUAGAUGUAAGUCUGUUGCUACGAGUUUCGUCAUCCAGACUAGGGCGCAUUGGGUGUUGCGUCCAAACUUCGAGAACUAACUCGAAAACCUAAAUAUUAAUCUCAGACCGAUAGAAAACUAGUAAAUUGAUUGAAAGGUGAAAAGUAGCGGUAACACGCAGUGAAAAGAGCUUGAAAUCAAGUGCUUAUAGAGUAUAAUGGCGUAAAAGGAUAGAGACUCGAUGUACCUAUAAUCGGUGACGAUUCUACGGGAAUCGAGUUUACCAGCGUCAUUGUGUCAGUCUUGAAACACUGGUCAGGGAGUUUAUUCGAGUGGUGAGACCAAGAUAAUAUCUAAAUCGUAGGGAAACCAAUCAGUCCGCAGCAUUGCAAGGGACAACGUCUGAAAGGGCGUGAAAUCACUCGAAUAAGAUGCGAAAGGCGUCGAUCUAUGCGUGGCCAGGUUGAAGCCGUGGGAAACUACGGUGGAGGACCGAAGGGGUAUUGAUAUACAACUCAUUCCUCUGAGCUGCGUUUAGUAGUAAUAGGCUAAUCUAGGCGUCUGAUAGCACAUUACCGUCGAAGUGGAGCCGCAGUCCAGCGUUGGGCGAGUAAAAUUUGAAGGUAGAGUACAGACAGUGUUGGAAUGGGGAAUUUAUUCCUCGCCGCACCAUCUAACUCCGAAUGUCAAAUUUAUUUAGACCCCAGCAGUCGGGCGGGUCGCCGUAAGGGUGAUCGCCGAGAAGCGAAUAAGCUAGAUUUGGGUUAAGGGCCCUAAAUGUCAAUUAAGUGUAAAAAUGAAGAGCGUCGUAUUCCGAAGACAAUGUGAUGGUAAGCUUAGAAACAGCUAUCCAUUAAAAAGUACGUACUAGUUUACACAUCGAGGAAUACGGCCUUGAAAAUGGACGGGGCUAAAAUUGACUCCCGAUACCCAAAGGCAUGUAUAACAACAUGAUCCGGUAGACGGUCGAUCGGCGAGGGUUGAAGCAGGUUGGUGAUGACCUGUGGACCUCGUCGAUGCGCAGAUCCUGAUAGUAGUAGGCAGAAAAUAUGGGUGAAAAUCCCAUAGGUCGAAAAGGCAAGGGUUCCUGGGCAACGUCAAUCGACCCAGGGUAAGUCGAUCCUAAGAGUAGCCUUAGUAUGGUUAUCUCAAAAGGGAAACAGGUUCAUAUUCCUGUACCACGCUUGAAAACCGGCAACGAUAGGAGGAGAUCAGACGUUUGUGGAUAGGCUUUUCUGGAUCGUCGUCCAGACUAAGUAUAUAAUUCCGGGGAGUAAUGUUACAUUGAGAACCGGAAAAAAUUACCAAUGGCCCACCAAUAGUGGUAGGUAAGGUCGAUUUCCAAAAACCCAUGAAAAUGAUCUUCUUUAAUACAGCGUGAUCGUACCAACAACCGACACGGGUGUCCUUAGGCUGAGAAAGCUAAGACCUCUUGGAGUAAUGCAGGCAAGGGAAUUCGGCAAAUUAGGCGAGUAACUUAGGGAUAAUCGCUGCCUUUACAUGUUCACGCGUGCGAAGGUGUCACUAACUCAGGAAACCCGACUGUUAAAUUUUGUUUGACAGUAAGUGUCCUGAUGAAAAUCGGGGCAAGUUACAUGCGAUGUAGCAACAUCAUCAAAUUGCGGGAAAAUCCUAAAGCUAUUAAUACUCUUCAUUCUGAGAAAUCUGAAUAGAAAACCAGGGUAAUGACCUCGGGCAUAGUAACAACUUAAUAGAUAUAUGGACGAUCCGCAGCCAAGCUCUAACUCAAUUUAUUGAUAUGAGUGCAGUUCAACGACUAAACGGUGAUGGGUGAUAAAUCUCAUUGAUUUAUUGCUUAAGAUAUAGUCUGUCUCGCUAGAAAUAGUGUUUGUCGUAAAUGUAUAAUAUGAAAUCGCAAUUAGAGUAAUAUUAUAAGAAAGGACAGAAUUGAUAUUGUGAAAGAAAGUAAUUUAAAUUUUACUCAUCAUGAUAUUAUAGUGAAAACGUAACAAAAACAUAGCAAACUGCUACGCUGAAAAGCUUUGUAUAGUUUGUGAAUCCUGCUCCGUGCUGGUAAGUCAAAUCCGGGUUCAACCGGGCUAAGCUCCAGUUAACAGCGGGAGUAACCAUGACUCUCUUAAGGUAGGCAAAUGCCUUGUCGGAUAAUUACCGACGCCCAUGAAGGGACCAACGAGGUUUCCACUGUCCCUGCCUGGAAUCCAGUGAACCUACAGUCCGGCGAACAGUCCGGAGAGUUCCGUUGGGAAGAGAAGACCCUGAGAGCUUUACUAUAGCUUCCAGUUGUUUAUUCGGCUCUCGUACAGAGCGUAGUUAGGAGACUUUGAAGUCAGGUCCCCGGGCCUGAUGGAGUCAACAAUGGAACACUAACUUCGUGGGCUGGAUAGACUCACCUGUUGCGACGGGGACACCUGGUGGUGGAUAGUUUGGCUGGGGCGGCACGCCUCCGAUAAGGAAACAGAGGCGUCCAAAGGUCGGCUCAGGAGGGACAGAAAUCCUCCGUAGAGUACAAGGGCAUAAGCCGGCUUUACUGUGAGCACAAAAAUCCUGCUCGCUGUUAAGAAAUUAGGGCCUAGCGAUCCAUCCAAUUGCCUUUAGUAGGCGUGGGUGGUGGCAGAAAAGUUACCUCAGGGGUAACAGAGUUGUCGCGGGCUAUAGUCCACACAUGUGGUUUAGUCAAUCAUACCUCAACUUUUCUGGUCUCUGUGUUCGUUAUAUUGAUCUAAUAGAUCACUUAACCACCAAAGAAAUAAAAAUAGUAAUGCUUUUAGCACUCAUUGCCGUGAGUGCACCACUUCAGGUCUUUCCUAACGUAUAAGGGAAGAAGAAUAUCCAAACCGAUCACACCACAGUAGGGUUUUCCCAAUGAUCUGUGUGUUGGUCUAGAAUCCAUUAAACUCCCCUUAUACCCUAAGAGUAGAUCUGAAUGGCCGUAAAGUUAUUACAUUUCCCAGCAUAAUGUUUAUCUAUGAAAUGUCUAACAAUGGUUAACUAAACCCUCAAGCUGAGGCUUGUAUUGGGAUAUAUUGACCCCGCGGCUUGCUUCCUCGAUGUCGGCUCUUCCUCGCUUGGUGUUGCAUAGGGCACCUAGAGUAGGGUUGUUCGCCCGUUAAUAGGGAACGUGAGCUGGGUUCAGACCGUUGUGAGACAGGUUGGUUUCUAUCUAACGGAACUGUUGGGUGAUUGUAAGCAAAAUGACUUCAGUACGAGAGGAACGAGUUGUUGUGGCCUCUGGUCGAUGGGUUGUCUGACAAGGCACUGCCCAGUAGCUACGCCAUUACAGAUAAGAGCUGAAAGCAUCUAAGCUCGAAGCUGUUCUUGAAAAGAAUCACCCACUCAGCAAUAGUUGAUAAAGUCAAAUUUGUACUUCCAGUACAAAUACAAUGAUAAAAUCAUUCUGGGAUCAGUGAUGAUAACGGAAAUAUAUUGCAGACGAGGACAUGGAAAAAAGAUCCGUUGAAAGGAAUGGGGUGUAAGCGUUGAGCUCCGGCGAAAUGUUUAGCCCACAUUUACUUACGUCCAAGGCGUUUCACUU
rnacentral:rRNA from 1 species